CCUACGGGUGGCAGCAGUGGGGAAUAUUGCACAAUGGGCGAAAGCCUGAUCCAGCAACGCCGCGUGAGCGAUGAAGGCCUUCGGGUCCGAAAGCUCUGUCCUCAAGGAAGAUAAUCACUGUACUUGAGGAGGAAGCCCCGGCUAACUACGUGCCAGCAGCCGCGGUAAUACGUAGGGAGCUAUCGUUAUCCGGAAUUACUGGGCGUAAGGGGGGCGUAGGUGGUUUCUUGAGUCAGCGGUGAAAGGCUACGGCUCAACCGUAGCACGCAGUUGAAACUGGAGACCUUGAGUUCAGGACAGGCAGGCGGAAUUCGUGGUGUAGCGGUGAAAUGCAUAGAUAUCAGGAGGAACCCCAGUUGCGAAGGCGGCUUUCUGGAGUGCGACUGACGCUGAGGCACGAAGGCGCGGGGAGCAAACAGGAUUAGAUACCCGGGUAGUC
rnacentral:rRNA from 1 species